CUUGGUCAUUUAGAGGAAGUAAAAGUCGUAACAAGGUUUCCGUAGGUGAACCUGCGGAAGGAUCAUUAUUGAAUGAAUUUGGUGUGGUUGUUGCUGGCCUUCUUGGAGGCAUGUGCACACCUACCAUCCUCAUCUCUCCACCUGUGCACCUCUUGUAGAUUUGGAAUUGAUUAUCCGAGGCAACUCGGUCGUGAGGACUGCCAAGCCACUUAGCUGGCUUUCUUUGCAAUUCCAGGUCUAUGUUUUUCAUAUACCCCAUUGUACGUAACAGAAUGUAUCAUUGGGCCUUGUGCCUCUAAACCUUAUACAACUUUCAGCAACGGAUCUCUUGGCUCUCGCAUCGAUGAAGAACGCAGCGAAAUGCAAUAAGUAAUGUGAAUUGCAGAAUUCAGUGAAUCAUCGAAUCCUUGAACGCACCUUGCGCUCCUUGGUAUUCCGAGGAGCAUGCCUGUUUGAGUGUCAUUAAAUUCUCAACCGUUAUCAACUUUUGCUGAUAAUGGCUUGGAUGUGGGGGUUUAUUUUGCUGGCUUCUCAGAUAGUCAGCUCCCCUUAAAUGCAUUAGCCGGUGCCCCGCGUGGACUGUCUAUUGGUGUGAUAAUUAUCUACGCUAUGGACAUCUGCAAUCAUAUGGGUUUGCACUGCUUCCAAUAGUCUGUUAAAGACAAUACAUGACAAUUUGACCUCAAUCAGGUAGGACUACCCGCUGAACUUAAGCAUAUCAAUAAGCGGAGGA
rnacentral:rRNA from 1 species